GGGCUUGAUAUCCUAAGAACCUUUUAGAGAUAAGAGGGUGCUAGCUUGCUAGAACUUAGAGACAGGUGCUGCACGGCUGUCGUCAGCUCGUGUCGUGAGAUGUUGGGUUAAGUCCCGCAACGAGCGCAACCCACGUAUUUAGUUGCUAACGGUUCGGCCGAGCACUCUAAAUAGACUGCCUUCGUAAGGAGGAGGAAGGUGUGGACGACGUCAAGUCAUCAUGGCCCUUAUGCCCAGGGCGACACACGUGCUACAAUGGCAUAUACAAUGAGACGCAAUACCGCGAGGUGGAGCAAAUCUAUAAAAUAUGUCCCAGUUCGGAUUGUUCUCUGCAACUCGAGAGCAUGAAGCCGGAAUCGCUAGUAAUCGUAGAUCAGCCAUGCUACGGUGAAUACGUUCCCGGGUCUUGUACUCACCGCCCGUCACACCAUGGGAGUUGAUUUCACUCGAAGCCGGAAUACUAAACUAGUUACCGUCCACAGUGGAAUCAGCGACUGGGGUGAAGUCGUAACAAGGUAACCGUAGGAGAACCUGCGGUUGGA
rnacentral:rRNA from 2 species